rnacentral:rRNA from 1 species
UUCGGUCAAUGGAAGCUUUGACUUAGUGGCGGACGGGUGAGUAACGCGUGAGGAACCUGCCUUUCAGUGGGGGACAACAGUUGGAAACGACUGCUAAUACCGCAUGACACAUAGGUGUCGCAUGGCACUUAUGUCAAAGAUUUAUCGCUGAAAGAUGGCCUCGCGUCUGAUUAGCUAGUUGGUGAGGUAACGGCUCACCAAGUCGACGAUCGGUAGCCGGACUGAGAGGUUGAACGGCCACAUUGGGACCGAGACACGGCCCAGACUCC